AUUGAACGCUGGCGGCAGGCCUUACACAUGCAAGUCGAGCGAGUGGCGGACGGGUGAGUAAUGUAUGGGCAUCUGCCUGGUGGAGGGGGAUAACUACUCGAAACGGUAGCUAAUACCGCAUACCAUCAGAUCAACCCAUAUGGGAUUAGCUUGUAGGUGGGGUAACGGCUCACCUAGGCGACGAUCCCUAGCUGGUCUGAGAGGAUGAUCAGCCACACUGGGACUGAGACACGGCCCAGACUCCUACGGGAGGCAGCAGUGGGGAAUAUUGCACAAUGGGCGCAAGCCUGAUGCAGCCAUGCCGAGUGUAUGAAGAAGGCCUUCGGGUUGUAAAGUACUUUCAGUCGGGAGGCGUUACCGACAGAAGAAGCACCGGCUAACUCCGUGCCAGCAGCCGCGGUAAUAC
rnacentral:rRNA from 1 species